CAUGUCUGCAGGUGAUUGGCCCAGGGUCCUUCCUUUCUGUUGUUGGGGGGCAUCAGCCCAGGCUUUCAUGGGAAGGACACAGGAUCAACCAGGACAAGGGAAAGAAGAGCCAGGGGGCCUGAACUCCAGUUCCAGCUGGGAAGAGACCUCACUGGGUGACCUUGGCUACGAUCAGUGACCAUGGACUCAUAAGGCUUUUGUUUAAGAAUUGCCUAAGAUGUUCUUCAGAUCCUGAAUUCCAGCAGGAAAGCUAAUGCCAACCAGUUUGAAAACAACCACAGAGGAAUCGAAUCAGCACGAGAAUGCAGUUUCUUCAUUUCCCUGUCCCAUGACUUUACUCUGCACUCUUUGACCAAUCAAUAAUCCUGGACCUUGGCCCACUUCAAACCCCUUGAAAUCUCUAGCUCCAACUCCCUGGAGGGGUGGAUUUGAGGUUUCCUCCUGUUUCCUUGUUUGGCUGCCGUAUGAUUAUUAAACUCUUUCUUUGCUGCAAUC
rnacentral:lncRNA from 1 species